rnacentral:rRNA from 1 species
AGUGAACGCUGGCGGUAGGCCUAACACAUGCAAGUCGAACGGCAGCACAGUAAGAGCUUGCUCUUACGGGUGGCGAGUGGCGGACGGGUGAGGAAUACAUCGGAAUCUACUUUUUCGUGGGGGAUAACGUAGGGAAACUUACGCUAAUACCGCAUACGACCUACGGGUGAAAGCAGGGGAUCUUCGGACCUUGCGCGAUUGAAUGAGCCGAUGUCGGAUUAGCUAGUUGGCGGGGUAACGGCCCACCAAGGCGACGAUCCGUAGCUGGUCUGAGAGGAUGAUCAGCCACACUGGAACUGAGACACGGUCCAGACUCCUACGGGAGGCAGCAGUGGGGAAUAUUGGACAAUGGGCGCAAGCCUGAUCCAGCCAUGCCGCGUGAGUGAAGAAGGCCUUCGGGUUGUAAAGCCCUUUUGUUGGGAAAGAAAAGCAGCAGGUGAAUACCCGGCCGUUCUGACGGUACCCAAAGAAUAAGCACCGGCUAACUUCGUG